GAGUUUAUUAAAUUUUUAUGAAGUAAUUUUAAUAAUCUUGAAGUUAUCUUGACUAUUCUGAGAAUCAAAAGUUAGUAAGAACAAUCUAUCUUCAAUUCAGAGAAAAGUUAAGUAUUCAUUUUUAAAAUAACAUUUUCUUUUUUUUUCUUUUAGUUGAAGUUUUUGAUGAAUACAAGUACCUAGAGUGCAUUUCUGAUGAAUCUUUAUGUACCUAGUUAUAUUUAUUUUUGGCUAAAGGAACUUAGAAGAGAAAAUUGUAACUUCGAUAAGUCAUGAAAAGUUCUGGGAAUUAGUCAUGGAAAGUCAUGAAUUUCAAAAUCUAAAAUGUAGCAGAUAUCCUGAUUGUGCCUGGAGUUUAAAAAAAAAUAUGAAGACUGUUCUUUUCAAGAUUCGGAGAUCUUAAUAAAGAUGUUGAAUUACCUUUAUACUUCAUCAAGGUCGCCACCCAACUGGAAACCUGGAAUUAUCAGGGAAUUUUUUUUAUACUGGAAAAACCAGGAAAAUUCAGACAAAAACCUGGAAAAAUCAGGGAUUUUUAAGGAAGAACUUGAAUUUCUUUCUUUUAUUUUUCUUAAUUUAACUAAUUUAAAUUAUUUAUUAAUUUUCUUAGUUAACAUUAUUUUACCAUCUGUUAUACCCACUUUUAGAGGAAAAUUUAUUGCCAAGCAGUUGAAAUACCAUCACCUUAGCAAUACUUCACUUGCAUCAAAAUUUGGUCCAUUAUAACCUUGUUAAACUAGAAUCCCACUUGAAACUCACCCCUAAUUACUAAAUGAAUAGAGAAUCCUUCCACCUCUUUGGGAGUCGAUUGGACUAUGCAGUUUAGGGAGGACAAAGAUUCUGGAGGAUGUGAAAGAAAGGGUUAGGAUAUUUGCUUCUAUUUAUAAAAGUAUGUUUUUUUUUUCUUCCAGUAGGUAGACUGAAUCCAUUUAUCGUUCUACUUAUUGUUUGACAAAAUUAUUCAAAAUAUUUCAGUAUUUUUAACUUUUAUAAGAUUCUCCAAAAGUUAGUUGGUCAUAAUUUAGCAACAAUAGAUUUUUAUUGCACCCUUUUUCUGAAAGCUUAUGUGCUCUCAUCCAAUGAAAUCCAUGAAAUAUUUUUUCUCAGCUAAGCCAACCAAUCGCACAUUUUUUUAUAAUCUCUAACAGAAAUGUUUGUCAACAAAUCGUAACAAUUAUUGCAGUAAUGCUAAUUUUCUUGAUUUAAUUUUAAACUUUUAUAACGUAUUCUAAUUUUAAAAAAAAGUUCUUUUCAAAACCAACUAUAUAUUAACAUUUAAUUUUACUGUUUCGUUGGUAAAUAUUUAACUUUUGAUUCAAAAUUAGAUUUGUGCAAUAAUCACAAUGUCGAGAGUUGGUAAAUGUUGCUUGCAAUCCAAAGAUGAUAUUUCAGAAACUGUUUCUCUUUUUACCCUUACAAGCAGGCAAAAACUAAGGAAUGUUUGGGAAACAUGCUAAAUCAUGAAUAAACAUAAAAUAUUAAAAAAAAA